rnacentral:rRNA from 1 species
GAUUCCCCCAGUAGCGGCGAGCGAACGGGGAGGAGCCCAGAGCCUGAAUCAGUGUGUGUGUUAGUGGAAGCGUCUGGAAAAGCGCGCGAUACAGGGUGACAGCCCCGUACACAAAAAUGCACAUACUGUGAGCUCGAUGAGUAGGGCGGGACACGUGGUAUCCUGUCUGAAUAUGGGGGGACCAUCCUCCAAGGCUAAAUACUCCUGACUGACCGAUAGUGAACCAGUACCGUGAGGGAAAGGCGAAAAGAACCCCGGCGAGGGGAGUGAAAAAGAACCUGAAACCGUGUACGUACAAGCAGUGGGAGCACGCUUCGGCGUGUGACUGCGUACCUUUUGUAUAAUGGGUCAGCGACUUAUAUUCUGUAGCAAGGUUAACCGAAUAGGGGAGCCGAAGGGAAACCGAGUCUUAACUGGGCGUUAAGUUGCAGGGUAUAGACCCGAAACCCGGUGAUCUAGCCAUGGGCAGGUUGAAGGUUGGGUAACACUAACUGGAGGACCGAACCGACUAAUGUUGAAAAAUUAGCGGAUGACUUGUGGCUGGGGGUGAAAGGCCAAUCAAACCGGGAGAUAGCUGGUUCUCCCCGAAAGCUAUUUAGGUAGCGCCUCGUGAAUUCAUCUCCGGGGGUAGAGCACUGUUUCGGCAAGGGGGUCAUCCCGACUUACCAACCCGAUGCAAACUGCGAAUACCGGAGAAUGUUAUCACGGGAGACACACGGCGGGUGCUAACGUCCGUCGUGAAGAGGGAAACAACCCAGACCGCCAGCUAAGGUCCCAAAGUCAUGGUUAAGUGGGAAACGAUGUGGGAAGGCCCAGACAGCCAGGAUGUUGGCUUAGAAGCAGCCAUCAUUUAAAGAAAGCGUAAUAGCUCACUGGUCGAGUCGGCCUGCGCGGAAGAUGUAACGGGGCUAAACCAUGCACCGAAGCUGCGGCAGCGACACUAUGUGUUGUUGGGUAGGGGAGCG